rnacentral:rRNA from 1 species
GAUCAUGCUCAGGAUGAACGCUAGCUACAGGCUUAACACAUGCAAGUCGAGGGGAAACGACAUCGAAAGCUUGCUUUUGAUGGGCGUCGACCGGCGCACGGGUGAGUAACGCGUAUCCAACCUGCCCACCACUUGGGGGAUAACCUUGCGAAAGUAAGACUAAUACCCAAUGAUAUCUCUAGAAGACAUCUGAAAGAGAUUAAAGAUUCAUCGGUGAUGGAUGGGGAUGCGU